GAAAUAUUAACUGUUUCAUUUAAAUUUUUUAUAGAAUUUUAUUUUUUAGUCAAAAAGCUAAAAUAAAUUUAAAAGACGAGAAGACCCUAUAAAUCUUUAUAUUUUAUUUAUUUUAAUUAUAAAGAUUAUUUUUGUUAUAAUAAAUAAAAAUAUUUUAUUGGGGUGAUAUUAAAAUUUAAAAAACUUUUAAUUUUAAAAUCCAUUAAUUUAUGUAUAAUUGAUCCAUUAAUAAUGAUUAAAAAUUUAAGUUACUUUAGGGAUAACAGCGUAAUUUUUUUGGAGAGUUCAUAUCGAUAAAAAAGAUUGCGACCUCGAUGUUGGAUUAAGAUAUAAUUUUGGGUGUAGCCGUUCAAAUUUUAAGUCUGUUCGACUUUUAAAUUCUU
rnacentral:rRNA from 1 species